rnacentral:rRNA from 1 species
UUUCCGUAGGUGAAGGUUUGCUUACCGGAGACCCUGGCAGCGACUCUAAAGAACUGCUUUUAGUCGCCCAACGAUUGGGCUGGCAACGCCAUCAGUCUGCGCUGGGAGGCCCCCGCACCGGGGUCCAACCAGCAGCUCCAGGAACCCCUGGAGUCCACAGAUCAAACGAUGGUGGNCACUCUGUGGUUUAGAUAUGAUCGGCCCCAUCCGUCGAGCGGAUGGCGAAUUCUUUGUGGAACCUGCGGAAGGAUCAUUA